CAAAAGUUUGGCCACCGGACAUGGCCAACUCUUAGUAACACACUCUCUGGCAAAUAUCACAGCUUGUAAAUGAUUUUUGUAGUCAGCUAUGGCUCUUGGGGGAUUUUUCUGCCCAUUCAGCCUUGCCUUCUGUAAUAUUCCUGGGCCGUCUUGCAUACAUUGCUCUUUUGAGUUCUAUCCACAGACCUUCAAUGAUCUUUAGGUCAGGGGACUGUGAGGUCCAUAGCAAACCUACAGCUUGUGCCUGUUAAGGGAUUAUAUUGUAGAUUUUCAGGUGUGUUUCAAAUCAUUAUCUUAUUGUAGGACCGAUCCUCUUUUCAACUUUUUACAGAUGGUGUGAUGUUUGCUUCCAGAAUUUGCUGGUAUUUAUUUGAAUCCAUUCUUCCCUCUACAAAUGACAUGUCCCCUGUGCCACUGGCUGCAAUACAAGCCCAAAGCAUGAUCGAUCCACCCCCAUGCUUAAUAGCUGGAGAGGUGUUCUUUUCCUGGAAUUUGGCACCCUUUUUUCUCUAAACACAUUGUGGCUAAAAAGGUCAAUUUUGACAUCAUCAGUCCACAGGAGUUGUUUCCGAAAUGCAUCAGGCUUGUUCAGAUGUCCAUUUGUAAGCUUCAGUUGCUAAAUUUUGUGGCUACGACACAGGAAAGAUUUUCUUCUGCUGACUCUGCCAUAAAGGUCAUAUUUGUUCAGGUGUCGCUGCACAGUAGAACGGUGAACCACCACUCCAGAGUCUGCUAAAUCUUCCUGAGGGUCUUUUGCAGUCAAACAGGGUUUUUUAUUUGCCUUUCUGGCAAUCUGAUGAGCAGUUCUUUCAGAAAGCUUUCUUGGUCUUCCAGACCUCAGCUUGACUUCCACCAUUCUUGUUAACUGCCGUUUAUUAAUAACAUUAUGAAAUGAGAAAACAGCUACCUGGAAAUGCUUUGCUCUCUUCUUGUAGCCUGCUUCUACUUUGACCUGGUGUCCAUCUUGUCUCUAUCCUCAGUAUAUACCUUGUGAUGAAAUGGCUGUCUUCUGUUUUCAUUCCUCAUGAAAUUCAACUCUACUCCGGAGCCUAAAUAUAAUCCCCAUUCCAUCCUCCCAUCCCGCGGUCACAUGGUUCUGUUCACCAUCCUGACUGGACUCUUAUGAAGAGCUACAAGAAUCUGAUUAGUAAUCUUGCUGUUUGAUCUGUUCUCUCCUACAGUUUGACAAGCAAAAGACAUUCAAACAAAUGCACAGGCAUGCAAGGAUAACAGCAUGUGUCACUUAGCCCUGAACUCUGGGGUCAGAAUGUAACUGAUUUUAUAAUGUUUACAUUCUGUGUACUCCGCUAACUACUGAGAAUAUGUCCGUAGUAAAAAACAAAAAUAGUAUCAUGCUUGCUAGAAUUGGCCCCUAUUGAAAAAUAAAAUGCUAUAUCCUGUUUUGAACCAAUAUGAGACACAAUUUGUCUCGUAUUUUCCAGAUCGCAUAACCUAUUCCCCCCAUCAACAAAUGACCAGGUCAUGCAUUGCUCAGCUCUACAACAUUUAUGUUAGGCCAACAUAAAUUAAUAAGAGGCAAUAAGAAAUGUAGUUUACUGCAGUGGCAUUGCAGUGGUAAAUUGUAUCUUUUGCCAACAUACAUAUACUUAAAUGACAGUAAUUACAACCUUUUGCUUUUUUUUAGCUGUCAUCCCCUGUGCUGGGGCGAAGUCAUAUAAUAAAUCUGUGCAGGACUGAACAAAUUAGCCACUUAUGUUUCAUGUAGAAAUGGAUCAUAUCAACUUGAAGAUAUGAAAUCAUAUUUUGACAAUGUGAAAGCUGUAUGCAAAGUAAUCCUCAUGAUGAAUUAGCAUGCAUUGCACAACAUGCACAGAAAAAAAAUAUCUCUGAAGCAGAGUUUCUGUCACUGUUUCAUAUUCUCAGGACAUAUAAUAUUGCAGAAAUUGAAAACCAAGGCAUUUGGGAAAGGCAUGUAUUUUUGUAGCCUGACCACACCAAUCAGCUGACCCAAUAUGUACAGUACACAGGGACUUGGGAGCUUACACUUAAACGAACAUAAGUUGGGCAAGUCACUGCACAGAGCUGAAAACAUCUUUUUAGAGAGGCAGGGACUAAUCUGUCUCACCAGGACUAUCUCUUUGCUACUAGUUAUGCAAGAGUGCUCCCAGAGGUAGCAAUGUUAAACUCUCCGGAGCAGGAAACUAAAGUCAAUAUGACCACCAUCAGUAAAAACAAGCCUGAAAACACACUUACAAACAGCAUACAGACCUUGCCUUCUUAAUGAUUAGAGAGUAAUUCAAAUUAAUAUAUUAUUCCAUGCAAUAAUUAUUUUCAUCCAUUGCAAUAGCAACAUUGGCAAAGCAAACAACAUCAUAUCAAGAUAUCACACACAUUUGGCCUAUAUAGGAGGGUGGCAAGAAGAGAGUCAUUUCUCACAAAGGUCUACCUGGAGUCCUGACUGAAGAAACACCUGACAGAUUCUGGAACAAACUUUCAGUGGGCUUCAUGGUCAAGAGUUAACAGAAAGGGACCUUUUUAGCCCAAAUACCAAGCAUUAUGUCUAGAGAAAAUCUAACACCAAAACAACAAGUACAGACACAUUUUUUGAUGCUUUCACAGCACUCAUAUGCUUUGUUGUGUGAUGUGGAUCAGGGCAAAAUGAGGCCAUUUCAAUCAAUGAAAUUUAUAGACUACAACACAAGAAAAUGGAAAAUCUUUAGAGCGUGAUGUAUUUUUUUUCCAUUCACUGCCUAUAAGUUGUUAUCAUGUUUUCCUUCUGAUGCUUUUGUCACAUCUGUUCUUAAAAAUAAAAUAAUUUCUCUAAGUUAA